GAUCAUGGCUCAGGAUGAACGCUGGCGGCGUGCUUAACACAUGCAAGUCGAACGAAGCACUUUAUUACGAUUUCUUCGGAAUGAAGUUUUUGUGACUGAGUGGCGGACGGGUGAGUAACGCGUGGGUAACCUGCCUCAUACAGGAGGAUAACAGUUGGAAACGACUGCUAAUACCGCAUAAGCGCACAGGAUUGCAUGAUCCAGUGUGAAAAACUCCGGUGGUAUGAGAUGGACCCG
rnacentral:rRNA from 1 species